rnacentral:rRNA from 1 species
GAAUGACUCUCGGCAACGGAUAUCUCGGCUCUUGCAUUGAUGAAGAACGUAGCGAAAUGCGAUACUUGGUGUGAAUUGCAGAAUCCCGUGAACCAUCGAGUCUUUGAACGCAAGUUGCGCCCGAAGCCAUUAGGCCGAGGGCACGCCUGCCUGGGUGUCACAC